GAUGAACGCUGGCGGCGUGCCUAAUACAUGCAAGUCGAGCGAACGGACGAGAAGCUUGCUUCUCUGAUGUUAGCGGCGGACGGGUGAGUAACACGUGGAUAACCUACCUAUAAGACUGGGAUAACUUCGGGAAACCGGAGCUAAUACCGGAUAAUAUUUUGAACCGCAUGGUUCAAAAGUAAAAGACGGUCUUGCUGUCACUUAUAGAUGGAUCCGCGCUGCAUUAGCUAGUUGGUAAGGUAACGGCUUACCAAGGCAACGAUGCAUAGCCGACCUGAGAGGGUGAUCGGCCACACUGGAACUGAGACACGGUCCAGACUCCUACGGGAGGCAGCAGUAGGGAAUCUUCCGCAAUGGGCGAAAGCCUGACGGAGCAACGCCGCGUGAGUGAUGAAGGUCUUCGGAUCGUAAAACUCUGUUAUUAGGGAAGAACAUAUGUGUAAGUAACUGUGCACAUCUUGACGGUACCUAAUCAGAAAGCCACGGCUAACUACGUG
rnacentral:rRNA from 1 species